rnacentral:misc_RNA from 1 species
CCUGUUACCUUGUGACUUGAAUGUCUCUGCCAAGCUAUUCCGGUUAAAUGAUUGGCAUCCAGCUUUUUCCAUCUCAUUUAGAGCAUCAUGAAAUAAACGCGUUGCUUUAUCCAGUUGGACAGGAUCAUCGUUCCCAUCAGCCGUUGUCUUAAAAAAGUGACUUUUCUCAAGGGCAGCAAAGAACUGCCCAAAGAGUUCAUCUUUGG